AUUGAACGCUGGCGGCAUGCCUUACACAUGCAAGUCGAACGGCAGCACGGGUGCUUGCCCCUGGUGGCGAGUGGCGAACAGGUGAGUAAUACAUCGGAACAUGUCCUGUAGUGGGGGAUAGCCCGGCGAAAGCCGGAUUAAUACCGCAUACGAUCUACGGAUGAAAGCGGGGGACCUUCGGGCCUCGCGCUAUAGGGUUGGCCGAUGGCUGAUUAGCUAGUUGGUGGGGUAAAGGCCUACCAAGGCGACGAUCAGUAGCUGGUCUGAGAGGACGACCAGCCACACUGGGACUGAGACACGGCCCAGACUCCUACGGGAGGCAGCAGUGGGGAAUUUUGGACAAUGGGCGAAAGCCUGAUCCAGCAAUGCCGCGUGUGUGAAGAAGGCCUUCGGGUUGUAAAGCACUUUUGUCCGGAAAGAAAUCCUUGGCCCUAAUACGGUCGGGGGAUGACGGUACCGGAAGAAUAAGCACCGGCUAACUACGUG
rnacentral:rRNA from 1 species